CAGUGCUCAAGUGUGACUCUCGCACAGUAAAUGUGUCGUGGCAUGCUGCCGCUGGUGCCAGCGUAUACACGGUCCUGGCACAAACACAGAAUCAAAGCAUUCCUCUCUCUUCCUGUCGGACCUCAGCCACUUCCUGUGACCUCACGCAAAUCCACUGUGGGGAGGUUUUUAAUGUCACAGUGUUUGCUGAUGACGGAGCCUGCAACAGCUCAGCACGGGCCAGCACUACACUGGAGUCGGGUAUAGAGAGCAUGUCCAGAUUACAGUCUUUAACUUUAAUUUGGAUUUGCUUGUGUAGCCUAAUGACUUAAUUUCCCUUAAUUUCUCUUCCUGUGUAAUGUCUCAGCGCCAUGUCCUCCGACAAUGAGGCCUCCUUCACUGAACUGCAGCACUAAUGCGGCCCUUGUGUCCUGGGUGAAGGACCCAGAUGCUGUGAGUGUCCGUGUCAGUGCCACCUCUGACCUGGGACACACUGCCUCUUGCAGCUCUUCUGCAAACAACUGCUCCCUGGACGCCAUGCUAUGUGGUCAGACGUACAAUGUAUAUGGUGUGGCCCGGGGCCCUCAGUGUGAGAGUGCACCUAGUGCUCCAUUCAGUAUUGUCACAGCCCCCUGCACCCCUGCUGAAGUGAGCGCUAACUACAGCUGCGGCACCAGCACAGAGCUGAGCUGGACUGACAGUCUGGGCCGAAAGAGCUUCUAUGUGCUUGCACAGACGAACAAUCACUCAGACUCCUGCAGCACAGUCCAAACCCACUGCUCCAUCAAUUCACUGAAGUGUGGAAGUCUUUAUAAUGUCUCUGUGGAAUCAAUUUCUGGCCACUGCAACAGCAGCCAUGCAGUCCACACACAGCUACAGACAGGUGAACACUCAUAAACGCAACACUUAUUUAC
rnacentral:lncRNA from 1 species